UGGCGACCGGCGCACGGGUGAGUAACACGUAUCCAACCUGCCGAUAACUCGGGGAUAGCCUUUCGAAAGAAAGAUUAAUAUCCGAUAGGAUAUCAAGAUCGCAUGAUCUUGAUAUUAAAGAAUUUCGGUUAUCGAUGGGGAUGCGUUCCAUUAGUUAGUUGGCGGGGUAACGGCCCACCAAGACGACGAUGGAUAGGGGUUCUGAGAGGAAGGUCCCCCACAUUGGAACUGAGACACGGUCCAAACUCCUACGGGAGGCAGCAG
rnacentral:rRNA from 1 species